GACGCUGGCAUAAUGGUCGUAAGCGACCCGUCUUGAAACACGGACCAAGGAGUCUAACAUAUGUGCGAGUACAGGGGUGGCAAACCCCCGUGCGCAAUGAAAGUGACAGUGGUUGGACCUUUUGGGCACAAUCCGCCGGCCUCAAUCCUUCGGGAGAACGGUCUGAGUGUGAGCAUACAU
rnacentral:rRNA from 1 species